GACGAACCGUGCGAACGUUGUUCGGAAUCACUGGGCUUAAAGGGCGCGUAGGCGGGCCGCCGCGUCCGGGGUGAAAUCCCCCCGCUCAACGGGGGAACGGCCUCGGAUACGGGCAGCCUGGAGGCGGGUAGGGGCACGCGGAACUGUGGGUGGAGCGGUGAAAUGCGUUGAGAUCCACAGGAACUCCGGUGGCGAAGGCGGCGUGCUGGACCCGUCCUGACGCUGAGGCGCGAAAGCCAGGGGAGCAAACGGG
rnacentral:rRNA from 1 species